rnacentral:rRNA from 1 species
UUAAAUUGAAGAGUUUGAUCAUGGCUCAGAUUGAACGCUGGCGGCAGGCCUAACACAUGCAAGUCGAACGGUAACAGGAAGAAGCUUGCUUCUUUGCUGACGAGUGGCGGACGGGUGAGUAAUGUCUGGGAAACUGCCUGAUGGAGGGGGAUAACUACUGGAAACGGUAGCUAAUACCGCAUAACGUCGCAAGACC